rnacentral:tRNA from 1 species
GGCUUAGUGGCAGAGCACGUGGCUUAUAACCACGUGGUCGUGGGUUCGAUCCCCAU